AGUGAACGCUGGCGGUAGGCCUAACACAUGCAAGUCGAACGGCAACACAGUAAGAGCUUGCUCUUACUGGUGAAGAGUGGCGUACGGGUGAGGAAUACACCGGAAUGUACGUUUUCGUGGGGGGUAACGUAUGGAAACUUACGCUAAUACCGCAUAAGGACUACGGGGGAAAGCAGGGGAACUUCGGGCCUUGCGCGAUUGAAUGGGCCGAUGUCGGAUUAGCUAGUUGGCGGGGUAAAGGCCCACCAAGGCGACGAUCCGUAGCUGGUCUGAGAGGAUGAUCAGCCACACUGGAACUGAGACACGGUCCAGACUCCUACGGGAGGCAGCAGUGGGGAAUAUUGGACAAUGGGCGCAAGCCUGAUCCAGCCAUACCGCGUGGGUGAAGAAGGCCUUCGGGUUGUAAAGCCCUUUUGUUGGGAAAGAAAAGCAGCAGGUUAAUACCCCGCUGUUCUGACGGUACCCAAAGAAUAAGCACCGGCUAACUUCGUG
rnacentral:rRNA from 1 species